rnacentral:rRNA from 1 species
GUAGUUAGCCGGGGCUUCCUCCUUGGGUACCGUCACUUCCUUCGUCCCCAAGGACAGAGGUUUACAAUCCGAAAACCUUCAUCCCUCACGCGGCGUUGCUGGGUCAGGGUUUCCCCCAUUGCCCAAUAUUCCCCACUGCUGCCUCCCGUAGGAGUCUGGACCGUCUCUCAGUUCCAGUGUGGCCGAUCACCCUCUCAGGUCGGCUACCGAUCGAUGGCUUGGUGGGCCGUUACCUCACCAACUACCUAAUCGGACGCGAGCCCACCCCGGAUCGGAUUGCUCCUUUUACCUCAGAGUCAUGUGACCCCGUGGUCUUAUGCGGUAUUAGCAGAUGUUUCCAUCUGUUAUCCCCCAUUCCGGGACAGGUUGCUCACGCGUUACUCACCCGUCCGCCGCUAGAACGUCAACCGAAGUCAACGUCCCCGCUCGACUUGCAUGUGUUAGGCACGCCGCCAGCGUCGUCCUCGUAGCCACGAAUACAAACUACUAGA